rnacentral:snRNA from 1 species
GAACUACCAUCUAAAUCUAUUGA